AGUGAACGCUGGCGGUAGGCCUAACACAUGCAAGUCGAACGGCAGCACAGUAAGAGCUUGCUCUUACGGGUGGCGAGUGGCGGACGGGUGAGGAAUACAUCGGAAUCUACUUUUUCGUGGGGGAUAACGUAGGGAAACUUACGCUAAUACCGCAUACGACCUACGGGUGAAAGCAGGGGAUCUUCGGACCUUGCGCGAUUGAAUGAGCUGAUGUCGGAUUAGCUAGUUGGCGGGGUAAAGGCCCACCAAGGCGACGAUCCGUAGCUGGUCUGAGAGGAUGAUCAGCCACACUGGAACUGAGACACGGUCCAGACUCCUACGGGAGGCAGCAGUGGGGAAUAUUGGACAAUGGGCGCAAGCCUGAUCCAGCCAUACCGCGUGGGUGAAGAAGGCCUUCGGGUUGUAAAGCCCUUUUGUUGGGAAAGAAAAGCAGCAGGUUAAUACCCCGCUGUUCUGACGGUACCCAAAGAAUAAGCACCGGCUAACUUCGU
rnacentral:rRNA from 1 species